rnacentral:tRNA from 1 species
CCCGCCAUAGUUUAAAUUAAAACAUUGACCUGCAAAAUCGAAAAUGGAAUGGUUUCCUGGUGUGU